GAUGAACGCUGGCGGCGUGCCUAAUACAUGCAAGUAGAACGCUUAAGCUUGGUGCUUGCACCGAGCGGAUGAGUUGCGAACGGGUGAGUAACGCGUAGGUAACCUGCCUCUUAGCGGGGGAUAACUAUUGGAAACGAUAGCUAAUACCGCAUAAAAGUCGAUAUCGCAUGAUAUUGAUUUGAAAGGUGCAAAUGCAUCACUAAGAGAUGGACCUGCGUUGUAUUAGCUAGUUGGUGAGGUAACGGCUCACCAAGGCGACGAUACAUAGCCGACCUGAGAGGGUGAUCGGCCACACUGGGACUGAGACACGGCCCAGACUCCUACGGGAGGCAGCAGUAGGGAAUCUUCGGCAAUGGGGGCAACCCUGACCGAGCAACGCCGCGUGAGUGAAGAAGGUUUUCGGAUCGUAAAGCUCUGUUGUAAGAGAAGAACGAGUGUGAGAGUGGAAAGUUCACACUGUGACGGUAACUUACCAGAAAGGGACGGCUAACUACGU
rnacentral:rRNA from 1 species